rnacentral:rRNA from 1 species
GGGUUACGCAAGCGAAGCUCUUGAUCGAAGCCCCGGUAAACGGCGGCCGUAACAAUAACGGUCCUAAGGUAGCGAAAUUCCUUGUCGGGUAAGUUCCGACCUGCACGAAUGGCGUAACGAUGGCCACACUGUCUCCUCCCGAGACUCAGCGAAGUUGAAGUGUUUGUGAUGAUGCAAUCUCCCCGCGGCUAGACGGAAAGACCCCAUGAACCUUUACUGUAGCUUUGCAUUGGACUUUGAACCGAUCUGUGUAGGAUAGGUGGGAGGCUUUGAAGUGUGGACG